AGAGUUUGAUCCUGGCUCAGAUUGAACGCUGCCGGCAUGCCUUACACAUGCAAGUCGAACGGCAGCACGGGGGCAACCCUGGUGGCGAGUGGCGAACGGGUGAGUAAUGCAUCGGAACGUGCCAUGGAGUGGGGGAUAACGUAGCGAAAGUUACGCUAAUACCGCAUAUUCUGUUCGCAGGAAAGCAGGGGACCGCAAGGCCUUGCGCUCUUUGAGCGGCCGAUAUCAGAUUAGCUAGUUGGUGGGGUAAAGGCUCACCAAGGCGACGAUCUGUAGCAGGUCUGAGAGGAUGAUCCGCCACACUGGGACUGAGACACGGCCCAGACUCCUACGGGAGGCAGCAGUGGGGAAUUUUGGACAAUGGGGGCAACCCUGAUCCAGCCAUGCCGCGUGAGUGAAGAAGGCCUUCGGGUUGUAAAGCUCUUUCGGCCGGGAAAAAAUCGCUUCGGCUAAUACCCGGGGUGGAUGAUGUACC
rnacentral:rRNA from 1 species